UCCGUAGGCGGGUAAUUAAGUCAGAGGUGGAAUCCCACAGCUUAACUGCGGAACUGCCUUAGAUACUGGUUAUCUUGAGUUAUAGUGAAGUAGAUAGAAUAUGUAGUGUAGCGGUGAAAUGCAUAGAUAUUACAUAGAAUACCGAUUGCGAAGGCAGUCUACUAACUAUAUACUGACGCUGAUGGACGAAAGCGUGGGGAGCGAACAGGAUUAGAUACCCUGGUAGUCC
rnacentral:rRNA from 1 species